rfam:Aedes aegypti strain Liverpool supercont1.2069 genomic scaffold, whole genome shotgun sequence.
GGCUCGAUAGCUUAAUUGGUAAAGCACUCGUUUAGCAUACGAGAUUCGUGGGUUCAAAUCCCACCUGAGCAC